GUUAAGACCGAGCCAAUGAACAACAGAGAGAUUGACUAACACAGGCAGCAGCACUGCACAGCCAUGCAGGCGAAGACACGCAGACAUGAAUAGAGGGCUCUGGAACUUGACACACUGAGCGCAGGGAACCAGUGCUCCCCAGCUAACAACAAGACCUGAAUGAUGAUCUUUUGGUGGUUCCUGGCACUGCUGCUGGGAUCUGUUGAAAUAUAUAGAGCCCAUGAAUGUGAUGUGUUCACUUAUCUGGACCUUUAUCACGCUAUCAUUGGAACCAGUCUGUAUGUGAAGCUGUUGCUGUACACCAGAGCUAAUCUGACCUGUGGUCAGGAGCUGUCCCACCAUAACCUGUCAGCCCAGCCCCAGUUCAACCUCACCAAGCCCACCACUUUUGUCGUUCAUGGCUACCGUCCUACGGGCGCUCCGCCCAACUGGUUGAAUAACAUCAUAGAGCAGCUGUUGGCCCGCGGAGACAUGAAUGUCCUGGUGGUGGACUGGAACCGCGGAGCUGCCAAUAUCAACUACCUGAAAGUUGUGACCUACUCACGAGAUACAGCGGACAACCUCACUGCCUUCAUCCGAAACAUGCAGGAGAAUGGUGCCUCUCUUAGUUCCAUCCAUAUGAUUGGGCUCAGUCUAGGAGCUCACAUCACAGGCUUUGUUGGAGCCAAGUUUAAUGGCAAAAUUGGGAGGAUCACAGCUGUAGAUCCAGCGGGGCCUCAGUUCAACGGGAAACCCCCUGAGGAUCGUCUGGACCCUACAGAUGCACAGUUUGUAGACGUUGUGCACACGGACAUGGACGCAUUUGGUUUCAGGAAGCCUUUGGGCCACAUUGAUUUCUAUGCUAACGGUGGAGCCGACCAGCCUGGCUGUCCACUGACCAUCUUAUCAGGGUCUGGAUAUUUUAAGUGUGACCACCAGAGAUCAGUGCUCCUCUAUCUGGGUUCCCUGAACCGGACCUGUAACAUCAGAGCUUUCCCCUGCACCUCCUACACUGACUUCCUGGAUGGACUUUGCAUGGAUUGUGAUCAAUUCAAACCUGCCGGAUGCCCUGUGUUUGGUUAUGACAUCAUAGAGUGGAAGGACUCUCUGGUUCCUCUGCAGCAAACCAAGGCUUUCUUCACCACCAAUAAACAGACACCAUACUGCAAGACGAGCUAUUGGGUGGACAUUGUAACAUGGAACCAUGAUACUCGCUGGGGCUACAUCACCAUAAAACUACACAAUGGUAGUGAGGUGACAGAGGCAACAAUAAACCAUAAAGCAUCCAGUUUUAAGAAGUACUCAGAGACCCGAUUACUGGCCCAGUUUGAAAAAGACCUUCAGAAAGUCCACAAGAUCUCAAUCAAAUUCUCCAGGGUGAAUGCAUUUAAACCUAAGUACAAACUACGGGUGCUCCGCAUCCGUCUCACACACCUGGAGCGCAAAGACAGAAAAGCCAGAGCAGGUCGCUCUCAUGUGAAAGCACGUGACAAGGCUGCAGGCAGACCCCUUAGUCAAACAGCUCCCAUCCGGCCCCCCUUCACAUGAGAAGCCUGAAACAACGUUCUAAAGACGGAUGACAUCUAGUGGAAGCCUUAGGAAGUGCAAAAUAACCCAUAUGCCACUGUGUAGAGGCCUCUCUGCCGCUAUGACAUUCUCCUGGAGGACAACAGAGAGGUGACCUUCAGAUCCAUCCCCUGUGAGGAGUCCAACUUCUGAGACAAUAACAGAUACACAGUAUGAUGUAGAGAGUCAGCAGUGGCCAUUUGAUGGCUCUCUGGGUAAAUGGAGUGAGGCAGUUGACCCAGGUAGCCUACAUGCUACUCACCCUCUGGUCUGUGUAUUCAGUGGCUUAAGUCUAGUAUGAGUCCAGAGCAUUGUAAAUGUGUGUAAGUGUGAUGAUUUUAAUGAAUGAUAUAUUGUAUUCAUUUAUGAAUUUUUUAAAAGUAUUAUGAUGAUUGUGUCUGUAUCACUGAGACCACUGUGUGGUAUAAUAUCUGUGGGAAACCACUACUAAAUCCAUAUUUUAUUAACGUAAAUACAUAUGACAUUUUUGGGAAUGAGAGCCACGUCAAUGGGUCAUUACACGAAAAGAGUGCAUUUUGUAUCCCUUUGAUAUCUUAAUUAACCCCUCUAUGGAAAGAAGAGACUCUCUCGAACACAAUUGUGUUCUCCGUUUUGCUCUACGACCCCCACAAGUGUCUUGGGACUCGUCUGUCAGUAAAUAUCAGUUGUUUUGCUCUAGGACCUCACAAGACUUGUCUGAAGGUCCCACGGUACCCGUUUAAGAAAAGAUUGGAAGUAUAUAUGGAGACUGUUUAGUGCCCAAAAGAAGGGUUAAAUACGGUCCCUGCUCUUUCUUAUAUCUCUCAGAUAUAUGACAGACACUUAAGAACUAACUUCCUUUAGAUUAUUUUUUUAGCUAAAUAAUCCUUAGUAUGACCUUAAAACAAUUCCAUAUAGUUUAGUAGAACACACCCCCCUCUUAGACACGGCUUGGACUGUUUAGUGCCAAAAAGAAGGGGUUUAUUGUACAUAUAUUUUUUAAACAUCACGUGGAGAAUUCAAUACAGAUUUUUUUUAUAUGAAUAAAGACUUGCUAAAGUGCCAAAAUGAAUCAUUUUGACAUGUCCCUCUGUGCCUCCUCUGUGCACCUCUGUGACUUCUUGGAAGAUUUUAACUGACUUGACUCCAACAUUUCUCCAAGUUUCCACCCUCAUUGUAAAGCCCCAACCCUGUUAUGGUCAACCCUGUUAUGGUUAACCCUGCUUCUUAAUUUGGCACUUAAAGUUAGGUGAAAUCAAAAUCUAAUUGGUGGAAUGACCCCAAUACAAUUGAACAUAGACCUUAAACCACUUGACUUAAAGAACAUGCUUGUUUUUUUGUUUUUAUUUUAUAAAAAAUGUCACAUGAUAUAAAAUGUUUUUGUAGAAGAUG